rnacentral:rRNA from 1 species
GACGAACGCUGGCGGCGUGCUUAACACAUGCAAGUCACGGGGGCCCGCAAGGGUAACCGGCGAACGGGUGCGUAACACGUGAACAAUCUGCCUAGAUGUGGGGGAUAGCCGGCCCAACGGCCGGGUAAUACCGCAUACGCUCUUCGGGUGGCAUCACUUGAAGAGGAAACCUCCGGGGCAUCUAGAGGAGUUCGCGGCCUAUCAGCUAGUUGGUGGGGUAACGGCCUACCAAGGCAAUGACGGGUAGCUGGUCUGAGAGGAUGGCCAGCCACAUUGGGACUGAGAUACGGCCCAGACUCCUACGGGAGGCAGCAGUGGGGAAUAUUGCGCAAUGGCCGAAAGGCUGACGCAGCGACGCCGCGUGGGGGAUGAAGCAUUUCGGUGUGUAAACCCCUGUUGCCCGGGACGAACAAGCGAUUUUGAUCGCUCUGACGGUACCGGGUGAGGAAGCACCGGCUAACUCCGUGCCAGCAGCCGCGGUAAUACGGAGGGUGCGAGCGUUGUCCGGAAUCACUGGGCGUAAAGGGCGCGUAGGCGGUCUGCUAAGCGUGUGGUGAAAGCUCGGGGCUCAACCCCGAGUCUGCCAUGCGAACUGGUGGACUAGAGCACUGUAGAGGCAGGUGGAAUUCCGGGUGUAGCGGUGGAAUGCGUAGAGAUCCGGAAGAACACCAGUGGCGAAGGCGGCCUGCUGGGCAGUAGCUGACGCUGAGGCGCGAUAGCGUGGGGAGCAAACAGG